AAGUCGUAACAAGGUCUCCGUUGGUGAACCAGCGGAGGGAUCAUUGCUGGAACAAACGCCCUCACGGGUGCUACCCAGAAACCCUUUGUGAAUCAUACCUAAAACUGUUGCCUCGGCAUGGUUGGCUUCUUGUAGAACCCCCUCUCCCCGGAGAGGAGCAGACCGGUCGAUGGCCCUAUAAACUCUUGUUUUUGUAAAUCUUCUGAGUAAAACAACUAAAAAAUGAAUCAAAACUUUCAACAACGGAUCUCUUGGUUCUG
rnacentral:misc_RNA from 1 species